GGAAUCUUACACAAUGGAGGAAACUCUGAUGCAGCGAUGCCGCGUGAGUGAAGAAGGCCUUUGGGUUGUAAAGCUCUUUUGUAGGGGAAGAUAAUGACUGUACCCUAAGAAUAAGGUCCGGCUAACUUCGUGCCAGCAGCCGCGGUAAUACGAAGGGACCUAGCGUAGUUCGGAAUUACUGGGCGUAAAGCGCGCGUAGGCCGUUGAGUUAGUUAAUUGUGAAAUCCCAAAGCUUAACUUUGGAACUGCAAUUAAAACUGCUCGACUAGAGUUUGAUAGAGGAAAGCGGAAUACAUAGUGUAGAGGUGAAAUUCGUAGAUAUUAUGUAGAACACCAGUUGCGAAGGCGGCUUUCUGGAUCAACACUGACGCUGAGGCGCGAAAGUAUGGGUAGCAAAGAGGAUUAGAUACCCUCGUAGUCCAUACCAUAAACGAUGAUUGCUAGAUGUUGGAAAUUUAUUUUCAGUAUCGCAGCUAACGCAUUAAGCAAUCCGCCUGGGGAGUACGACCGCAAGGUUAAAACUCAAAUGAAUUGACGG
rnacentral:rRNA from 1 species